UGGGUUGUAGCUCAGUGGUAGAACGCUGACGUAGCAUAUGUGAGGUCCUGGGUUCAAUCCCCAGCACCACUUAA
rnacentral:tRNA from 1 species